GACGAACUGUCCUAACGUUGUUCGGAAUUACUGGGCGUAAAGGGCUCGUAGGCGGCCAACUAAGUCAGACGUGAAAUCCCCAGGCUCAACCUGGGAACUGCGUCUGAUACUGGAUGGCUUGAAUCCGGGAGAGGGAUGCAGAAUUCCAGGUGUAGCGGUGAAAUGCGUAGAUAUCUGGAGGAAUACCGGUGGCGAAGGCGGCAUCCUGGACCGGCAUUGACGCUGAGGAGCGAAAGCCAGGGGAGCAAACGGG
rnacentral:rRNA from 1 species